GCGGGCGUGGCGGAAUGGUAGACGCAAGGGACUUAAAAUCCCUGGACUUUUGUCGUGCGGGUUCGAGUCCCGCCGCCCGUACCA
rnacentral:tRNA from 1 species